GCUAAGACUCAGUGCCAGGCAUCUGCAAGGCAGCUAGGGCAGCAUAAGAUCAUUUCAGAAUGAAGAUGCUUUGGGAUCUGACUUCGGACUGUAAGAAUGACAAACUCUGAAUGGGUGCAAAGGUAGCAGAUGACCUUCAAAGGAUGGUGAGAUUAAAUUUACCUACACCUAGAGAAAUAAUUGGAGCACAUGUCUAUUUGGGCCAAGAGGAUAAAGGCCAGUAGAGGAAUCAGAUCAAAGAACUUCCUCAGGGAAGUGUGCAGAGAACUGGAGUGGACCUUCCCCUAGGAAGCUGCCCAAAACGAGAGUGCUGGAAAGCUGGCCGCAGUGAGGCACUUCAGAUCCCAAGGGUAUGCUGGGGAAGCUGCCACAGGUGGGAGCACUUGCUGCUGGACCCUAGGCACUGUUGAAACAACUGCACCAUCUGCAGGAGCCCAGCAAGAAAGAACUUGUUUGCAUCCCUGCUAGACAAAAACCUACAAGUUAACCUUUGCCCGUAUGGAGUUGUAAAACAGACCAGUUGAUAGAAAGAGAAGCCUGCUUCCCGAAGCCCUCAGCAGAAGCCGAGCAGAUGUUGGCACCAUGCUUCUUGUACAGCC
rnacentral:lncRNA from 10 species